CAAAGCACUAAAAUCUUUUGAUUAAAACUUAAAGAGCAUGGCGGUCACAAAAAAGUUCAGGGGAACUUACCAAGUAAUAGACAACCCACAAGUCACCCUUCUUAAUUUACAGUUUGUAUACCGCCGUCUAAGUACUGCUUAUGGUAGUGCUAAAAUAAAAACUAGAAGGACAGGCCAUGGUGCAGCUAAUAAUUAAGUUUUAGGCGAGUUACAAUAAAUCCUUUUUUUUCCAGAAACUUGUAAAGUUUUAAUGAAGUGGACUUGAAAGUAAAAUUUAAAAGAAAUACAAUUUGAAUUUAUUAUUUUGUGGUGC
rnacentral:rRNA from 1 species